rnacentral:rRNA from 1 species
ACCCGACAGUGCCAGUACAUGGAUAACUGUGGUAAUUCUAGAGCUAAUACAUGCAGUAAGCCCUGAACUUAAUUACUAAGUGACGGGUGCGGUUAUUAGACCAAAAACCAAUCGGCAGUGGCAUUAGCUGCUGCCGUUCCAUUGGUGAACUCUGAGUAANNACAGCGAACCGCACGGUCUCGUACCGGCGGUCUGUCGGUCAAGCAACUGCCUUAUCAGCUUGUCGUUAGGUUAUACGCCUAACGAGGCGUCAACGGGUAACGAACGAUUGGGGUCCGACAUCGGAGAGGGAGCCUGAGAAACGGCUACCACAUCUAAGGAAGGCAGCAGGCGCGCAAAUUACCCACUCCCGGCACGGGGAGGUAGUGACGAGAAAUAACGAUGCGGGGUUCCAUGUGAAUU